UUGUAACGGGGUGAUAUGAGUUCGAGACUGCAUUUCCCAUAAGGCUAUGCAGUAGCGUAAUGUUUACGUCAGCACGCACUAUAAAUAGACGCACGGUAGCAUAGCGUGUCCUCCUCUUUCAUUCAUUGAUUCUGCCAACAAGCAAACAUUAUUAUAAGGUAUUUGUGCUUGAUUGUGUUUGCUUGUGUAAUUAUAUGGGGUGUGCAGUAGCAUAACAUGCUCUCGUUUCAUUUAUGCAUUGAUGAUGUAUACAAGUAUUUGCUUACUAAGUGAUUUGCGCUUCACGCUGUCUGUAGGUACUAUAAAUAGACUCAUAGUAGUGUGGAUUGCUUUCACCUCAUUUGUCGGGUCUACAAACAAGCUUGUCGAUCUUCAGGUAAUGGGUCUCUAUGACUAUGGAAGGGUAUAUUUUAAGUAUGCCAGCUAAUUAAUGCCAAGUAGUUGAUCGCUUAUGUUUAGAAUUGUUUGUGUGUUUAUAGGUUACUGUUCAUUUAAUUUAAUGCGGGUAUAAGGCAUCUUCAUGUACGGAUUUUAUUGUUAAGGUAAUGAGAAUUUAUAAAGAAAUUGGUAGGUUAAAGGGGUAGAAAGAAAAGUGUUUUAUGAUGUUGUCAUCUUUCAGAAAACCGUGCGUGUUAAUGGUGAUUGGCCUGACGACAGAGUCUUCAAAGAGUAUGAGUGAUGUAUGAGCGAAAUGCUUGUUAGAGGUUCCUUUUUAAUAGAAGAAACAACCGGUUGGUUUUAAUUCUGUCUUUCACAGAUCCAGAUAUAUUUUUAAGGUCAAGCACGACUAUUGUUACUAUUUUAUAUUUUGAUUUUUGUGGUGAAUUUCCCCUUUCUCAUUAUAUAAGUGAUUUAUGAUUUAUUAUUAGUAUUUGUGUAAUGAUUUGAGUGUUUUUAUUCAUUAUUAUUUUUAUUUUAUUUUUGUGAAAUGUAUGAUUAAUUUUGUUUCCUCUUUUUGUAGUUUUCAUCCUUUCUGACUCUCGGCAGCACAGGGGCUUCCCUUGUGGGUGCGACUGGCACUGGUGCGGUGGUGGGAUAUUCUUGUGACGUGGCACCUUUUAUUGUGUGCUGUGAUUGCUGUGUUGAAGUGGGGUUGCAUUGCAGUGGUUGUAUAUCCUUCACAAUUCCAGUGGUGCCUUUUAAGGAGCCCUGUGAUUUUGUCAUGAGAGUAUAAAUAUUUUUCUACAUCAUGAGGUUUGCCAUAGUGUUUUAAAUAUUUUAUCAUGUUAUGUGGAAUUAGAAGUUUUGUAUUAUAAAUAAAACUGCUUGUAAAAGUGAUCAUUGCUAUUACCGUCUGUGGCAUUUAACUUAUAUAUUUAAAUACCGGCCAGGUCAGGUUGGUU